AAGUGCGAACUAUUAAAUACAAAUGCGAACUAUAAAAUAUAAAUACAAGUGCAAACUUUAAAAUACAAAUACAAAUAUAGUUGUAUCAAUAAAUACAAAAAUAUAAAUGACGGUGUGACUACAAAUACGAUAAAUAAUUAUGGUAUUUACGUUAUCAUCCAUGACUUGUGCUCGAUUAAUAAUAUUUUUCAAAAAUACAAAAAUAUAAAAU
rnacentral:lncRNA from 1 species